rnacentral:rRNA from 1 species
UACGUAGGGGGCAAGCGUUGUCCGGAUUUAUUGGGCGUAAAGAGCGUGUAGGCGGCCAGGUAGGUCAGCUGUGAAAACUCGAGGCUCAACCUCGAGACGUCGGUUGAAACCAUCUGGCUAGAGUCCGGAAGAGGAGAGUGGAAUUCCUGGUGUAGCGGUGAAAUGCGCAGAUAUCAGGAGGAACACCUAUGGCGAAGGCA